CCAUUUUCUGCCACCGAAUACAUUAGCAUGGGAUAAUGGAAUAGGACCCUGUCCUCCUAUUUUCAGUUGGUUUUGGCAGCGCGAGGACUAGGGUAAUGAUUAAUAGGGAUAGUUGGGGGCAUUAAUAUUUAAUUGUCAGAGGUGAAAUUCUUGGAUUUAUGAAAGAUUAACUUCUGCGAAAGCAUCUGCCAAGGAUGUUUUCAUUAAUCAAGAACGAAAGUUAGGGGAUCGAAGACGAUCAGAUACCGUCGUAGUCUUAACCAUAAACGAUGCCGACCAGCGAUUAGGAGACGUUGAAUACAAAACACCACCAUCGGCGCGGUCGUCCUUGGCGUCGGUCUUUCGGGGCCGGCGCGGGGGCGGCUUAGCCCGGUGGCACCGGUGAAUGACUCCCUAGCAGCU
rnacentral:rRNA from 1 species